rnacentral:lncRNA from 1 species
CAAUGUAUCAGACCUCCUGGCUGGAAUCCACUCAGACAAGCCUGUUAAAAGUUCUUGAGGCUGCAAAAGUCUGUGAAGCCACUGCCAAAUGAAGCCUUUGCCUUAAAUCGAUCUGUGGAUGUAUGUGAUUUGUGACUUACAGAGUACCUGAAAAUAGUGGAUAGUACCACUGACAGAAGGGUGAAGAGUGAGAAAAAUAAAUUACAGAAGGUUAUUAUCUUCAAGGGUUAAAUUACUUUUUGUAUUGUGUUAUUUGUUUUUGUAGAGUUUUCAGAUUGCAAGCAGCAGAAACCAACCUGGUUAACAAGCGGGAAUGCUGAAGAUCAGGGUCAGCUGUCUAAUUAGGAGGAACUGAGAGAAUCUCUUCAGGAUACCAUAAGUCUACUGAUUGUCAGGUUUUUGUCUCUCUGCUCAAGAUUCCUAUUUUAGUGAGUGAACCUUUGUUUGGUCUGUUUCGGGCAGUAGCCACACUUUUGCUGAAGAAGCACAGAUACCAACUACACAGAUGUAAUUUCUAUUCAGUCUUUUGCUACUGGCUCCUGAAGGUUGAUUUCCUGCUCCUUGCUAAUUUACACAGGUG